UACGGAGGAUGCGAGCGUUAUCCGGAUUUAUUGGGUUUAAAGGGUGCGUAGGCGGGAUGCCAAGUCAGCGGUAAAAAUGCGGUGCUCAACGCCGUCGAGCCGUUGAAACUGGCGUUCUUGAGUGGGCGAGAAGUAUGCGGAAUGCGUGGUGUAGCGGUGAAAUGCGUAGAUAUCAGGAGGAACACCGGUGGCGAAGGCGGCCUGCUGGACUGCAACUGACGUUGAGGCCCGAAAGCGUGGGGAGCAAACAGG
rnacentral:rRNA from 1 species